AAGUAUUUUUAAGUAUUUAUUAUUAACUAUUUUGUAAGUAUUUUUAAUGAGAACAAAAAUAAGAUUAUUUAAACAUAUUUUAUGUGGCAAUAUAACUUAAUGUCAGAAUGCAAAUAACAUAUUUGCAGUAUGUGAGUUGUAAUGAAAAGAAAAUGCCCAUAAUUUUGCUACUUAGCACAGCCAGGUAUCAUGGGUGCCCUAGGAUUAGCCUGCAUUUCCCUGCUCCUGAAAACUGACUAUUAUGGAGUGUUGCUCAUGAAUGGUUGAGAAUUGCUGGCCAUUGAAAUAUCUCUUUAACGAGUAUUGUGUGGGAAAAAUUAAUGUGUCUGGGUGGCCAGCUUACAAAGAGAAAAUGCUCUCAAAGAUAAAUGUUAGACUAACCCUUAAGUAUGUUUAAGGUCAUUUCACUCCCCAGAGAAACAUGUUUCAGAAAGCAUAAUGGAAAUUAAUGGGAAAUAUAAAUCUCUAUAAAUCAACAUUUUACACAUAGUUUUACAGAAUGUCAUCAAAAGCAGAGUACAUAAUUAAUUUCUUAAGUAUUUCAUUCAAAAAUUUAUUUAGUGUCUUAUAUUCUAGGCAUUGUAAGCACAAAUGAUGCAGUAGUAAAUAAAACUAGAGACCUAUCUGCCUGUCUGUCUGUCUGUCUGUCUCUCUGUCUCUAUAUCUAUCUAAAUUUUGUGUGAGAGGGCUCACACAAGGAACCAAAAAGCUGAUGAUAAGCCAAGUGUUGUGAAUGCUGGAAUACAUUAAAGCAAUAUAAGGAGGAGAAGAAUUAUGGGCGGCAGGGAAAAAGGGAGUUCAGAUUUUUAUCUACAAGAUAAUCAGGGAAAUGGCCUGAUUUGUGGAUGUAUUUAGGUAUAGACAUAAAAGGAGGAAGGAAAGUGGAUAGUUCUAGGCACAGGUAGAAUAUGCCUAGCAAGAACAAGAGUAGAACACAAUGAGAUCAGAGAGGAAAUAUGGGAUCCCAGACCAUGUUAGACUUAUGGGAGGCAUUGUAUAACCUGUGGCUUUUAUUACGAGUGAGACAGAAAACAAUUGGAGGGUUUUGACAGAAAACAAUUAGAGGGUUUUGAGUAGAGAAGAGACACAAUUUGACCUAAUAAUGAAUUAUUAUUUUAGCUAGUAGAUUGAGCAUAGAUUAUUCAUGGGUUCAAGGUAGAAGAAGAGAAAACAGGUAGCAAGUUAUUGCAAUAAUUUAGGUGAGAGAGAAUGGCUUGCCCAAUGGUGGCAGCGAAAAGUAAUUAGAUUCUAGACAUAUCUUGAAGGCAGAGACAACAUAUAUUUUGAGUGGUUAUUUUUUAUAUGACGGGGAAAGUAAGGAGUGAAGGGAAAAAAAUGACUGACUCCAAUAUUUUUGACCAAAGCUAAAAGGUUGGAAUUGUCAAUUAAUGAGGUGGGGAACUGGAACGAAGAGGCUUUUGGGGGAUUGGAAGGAUUUUCAUUUUUAGUGCACUUAGUGCAUUCUCCAUUCGAGAAUUUACAUCACUGAAGUGGAGAAAAUGAAGUUUGGAUUUGAAAAUAUGGAGUUUAGGAAACAGUUCUGAGUAAAGGUAUGUAUAUAUUUUUUUCCUCAGAAUAUAAAUAAUAUUUAUAGCCAUGAUGCUGAGUGAGAUCACCUAAAGAGAGAUUUAAAUAGAGAAGUCUGAGAAUGAAAUUCUGAGACACUCUAAUAUUUAGAGGAAAAGAAGUUCCAGCCAAUGAGACAGUAAAGAAGUGGAUAGGGAAGGGGAUCCAGAGGCCAAGCAAAAGUAUUCCAGAAAAAAAGGACAACUGUGUUACAUGUUUCUGAUAGGUCCAUAAAUGAGGAAUGUGAAUUGACUGUUGGAUUGAGCCAUGUGAAAACCACUGGUAACACUGACAAGACAUAGUUUGAUAGAGUAGUGGGCACAAAAGCUAAACUUGAGGUGUUCAAAACAUAAUUGCAGCAGGAAACAGUACAGACAGUGAGUAUAAAAAAUAACUCUCCAGGAGGUCUACCAAAAGGCAUGCAGAGAAAUAGGCAGGAACUCAACUCGCCUGUCAGAUCGAGAUUCCUUUUUUUUAUUCUUAUUUGAAAGGAAAAAUAACAGCAUGUUAUUAUGAUGAUGGAAGUGAUAGAGUAGAAGGUAAAAUCGAGAAACAGAAAAAAGGAGAGACAAUUGCUGUGUUGACAUCUGGAGUUUAUGAAUGGGGAUGGUGCCCGGACAGCAGAAAGAGCCCAUUUAAAAUCAAUGGUCGUGAAACACAGUGAGACAAGUCAUCAAAGUCGCAUGUUUUUCUCCAGCCUGACUUAGUUGCCUCCAUGAUUAAACAGAGUAGGCAGGGACUGGAUUUGAUGUGAGCUGAGGUUUAUCCAAGUGAGUGUGACUGAAGAGAGGAGCACGCGUAUGCCUGGAAGUUUAAAGGAAAUGAAACAGUUAUGACCUCGUAAGGCUGCAGUGUUCUUCAGAGGAGAAACAGGAGCCAAAAGAUGCACGUCACUCUAAGAGAAAAGGUUUGGAAUAGAGAGGAUUUUGCUGAUUGUUAUAAUUUUAGCAAUUUCAUGAGAUGCUAUUUCACAGUUUAAUUAAUGCUAUCACGUUUAUUAUUUUAUUCUACCCACAUUAAUAAAAAUAACAACGUAAAAUUUAAAUUAUAGUGUAUUUUCUCCACAAUGUUGAUCUAAUUAUUUAUGUCCAACUUUAGAACUCAAUCAAAAAAGCAGUAUCCCUAGAAAUGUCCACAGUGUCGGAGUCAAAAUAAGUUGUGUUUCUUUUUGCAAAUUGUGAAAUAACAUUGCUAAAUAUAACUAAGGUUCUGGGAAGACAAAGGAUUAGUGAAACAGUGCAUGAGUAUUAUGUAAGGCACCAAGAAAGGGCAAACAUUACAUUUAUAUAUACUUCUAUAUAUAAAACUUAUAUUUAUACGUGUGUGUGUGUGUGUGUGAAAAUCAUUAAGCCAUAUAAUUUAUGCUGCUUGUUCUGAUACAUGUAUUCAUUUUUUAAAAAUUGCCAUUAUGGACUCUCAGGUAUUUAUUUUAUUUCUAAAGCCAACAAUGAGAUUAUUCUCUGUGGAUACGUGACCAGAGGCGACAUGCUCAGGGAUAUUAUAGCAGAUGAUCCUAUUAUAGUAAAGCACACUAAAUAAUCUUUAAACUCUCAUCCAAAUCUACGAUUCUAUGAUUUUGAUUUAUCCAAACAACAGCCACCAAACUAUAUGAUAAUGCUAAUGUUGAUAAAAGACCAGUGAUGAUCAAUGCCAUGCCUCCUAUGAAGUUCUAUCAAGAACACCUUAAUAACUCCUUAAUAAGAAGACGGUGCUCUCCUGUGCUGCAAUAACAUUUUUCUUCAUCUUCCUCUAACGGGAUGUGUGCCUUUUUUUCUGGUUAUUUUUGAAAGUAUCUUGAAUGGUAAUGUGAAUUCAUUCAACCUCAACAUCUAUUUACUGUUACUGACACCCUACUUGUUAGGCAGUGGGGAUGAAAAUAAUAGCUGACUUUUUGGAACAGUUUCAUCACAGUAGGCAGUGCCAAGGGCUUUCUUUGCAUUGUUCCAUUUAACCCUCACAAUGUCCUUAUGAAAUAUGAUAUCAUUUCAAUCAGCAUUUCACAAAUGAGGAAACAGAGACAUAAAGAGGUUAAGUCACUUGCCUAAAGUCACACAAGAAAUGAUAUUGCUCACUUUCCAAUCCAUGCUAUCUGGCUCCUGAACCUGUAGUCUCUAAACUACUACGUCAUAGUGAUGAAAAAACCACCAUGGCUCACAUUAGCCCCUCGACAAUUUCUCUCUCUCUCUCUCUCUGUCUUCCUUCUAUCUCUCUCUUUCUUGGAGGCUGGGAGUUGAAUGUGGCCAAAAAUUCUUUGAAAGAACUCUUUUUGGGUAAUAAUGUAGGCACAUUUAUUAAAAAGUGGUGGUGUUUAGGGCUUAGCCUCAUCAGCUCAUAACCUAUGCACUCUUCUAAUCACGAUGUUCCUGAUUGCUAAUUAUUUUCUCUUCUCCUAUUACUGUUUCCUCUCAUUAUCACACAGUCUUUUCAUCACCUGACAUUGUGCUUCUGGAUGUCCUUGUACCAAUUUCACUCCACCUCGGCUUGUCAUAAAGCAGUUGGUUUCCUGUUAUCAUUCAUCCAUUUGAGAUGUCUUGCAGAAUUAUCUAACCAAGUUUCCACAUGAUAUUGUUACAUUCUAUUUACUGAAUGUAACAAUAAUUGAAAAUCUAUGUGGAUAGACUGACUAUAGACAUAUAUAGCAUAAUUUAUAUGAUUAUUAGUUAUAGAUGCCUGCUCUGGAGCAUACUGCUAUAUUGACACAUGAUCUCAAGCAAAAUAUAUUGGCCUACUACUAAUUUAUCCACAGCUUCUAAUCAUCUUAGAUAAUCCAUUGACAACUUUCAGUGCUACAAUAUCAAUAAAAUGAUUUUCUUUCAUGUAUCAGUGAUAGUAAAUUUGCUUUACAUAAAGGCCUCAGCAACUACCAUUUACACCUGGACAAGUUAAAAAGUGUGACUAUAAAUCAACAUCAAAUAGAACAGUAAAGAUCAACUAUACCUCAGGAAUAGCUGUUGAAAACCAGGUUCGAGCCCUAGCUGUCCAGAAACAACUUUGAUUUACGUAUAUGAAAUUAAGACACUGCUCUACCAUCAAGCAGCAUUACAGGAAAAUUAUAUAUACUUAGGGAGACUAGAUUUAGUAAGCAAGUAUUUUGGAUGUCUUUGAUGUUAUGAUAACAGUUGGUAAUUUAGGGAAUGCUUGCUUGGCAGGUGCCCUUAAUAUAGGCAAUUUUGCAGCUUAAUGAGUAUAUUUCCACCUACUGUUUCAAGAAUUGCUCCUGCCAGAGGCUAUGAGAAACUGUAUAAGAUAUCGAAAUUUAUCAUGUACUGUCAUUUUAGUCUGUGAAUUAGUGGGCCACUGGAGGUAUAAGCUUUAACUUCUUCAAAUCUUUCUGAAAAUAUAAUAUUCCUCUUAAGGAAUAAUGGUCAUGAUCAACAUAAUUCCAUGUAUUCAUACUAUCAUAUAUUUUUCCCACAUACCUUCCUUAUACAUUUAUAUAACUCAAUAACUAGAUUAUUAAUAUCUUUGGAGGAUGAUUUGAGGCAUUUGACAAUGUUAGAACCUUGCAAAAUUCAGUUUCAAGGAACAAUAGUGACGAAAUAAUAUAUAUAGUAUGUUUCUUGAUAACACGGGUCUAUUAUCAAUUUAUUAAAUUUUUAUGCCAAUUAAUAUCCUUGUUAUGCUACUGAGAGUGAUUAUAUAAUCUGAAUAUGCUGCGAUCCGUUUUUCUGGUGUGCUGGAGCCAACCCACACAGUGGUUGAGAGCUUAUAAUUAAAUAUCAGGAAGAUUCAAGCCAGUGGUUAAAUAUAUCCAUCGUUAAAAAUUGGAUUUUACAAUGACUUAUGUCAUUGAGUUUAUUCACAGCUAUCAUAUGUGGAUGGUAAAGAUAUGACGAGGUGUCACUACACACCUCUUCCUAACUCCAGGGUCAGCGUUGUCAUGUUGGUAAUUAGACAUCUGCCAUGGUGGGUGUAUUUAUACCAUAAAAAUCAGCAAACACUACAAAUUGGUAUUUUUAUUAUUUUUUGAGAGCCAGUCAUUAAAUAUUUAUCAGUAUACAAUUGCCUGUAAGGCAUGACAUAUCUUCUCUUCAUUUAUUAUGAGUAGGUGAGAUGACAGGACGCAAAAUUACAGAGGAUUGGUAAUUUAUUUUUAAAGCAUCUCGGAACCACCAUGGCUCCUGAAAAGGUUGGUAUAAGAUUUUCUCCAUAGUUAAUACCAUGAAAGAAAUUCACUUUUUAUGUAAUUUGUGUACAAAUCAUCUCCUAAAAGCCAGAUGUUUUGUAAGUUUUUGAGACAAAAAAGAAAACAAAAAGUUUAAUGUAUUUACUCAAUGAUCCAAAUAUACCAAAAUGUAUAUUGGGUUACAGGGAGGCACAUUUAUGAAGUGUGUGUGUGUGUGUGUGUGUGUGUGUAAACACUAGUAAGAAAAUCAGUCAUAGAAUAAAGUAAUAGAGGUACAAACACCAAAUAGAGCUGUAAGAUCCUAGAAGAGAUAAUGAUUACCAACCCAGUCUCAUCUGGAAAAGCCUGGAAGGCUACAUAUGGAAAAUGACAAGAUGGAUUAUUGUAUCAAAUCAUAUUAGAACUGGAUGGUAGUUAAGGCAAUAGAAACAGAUUCCAUUCAGUAUUAUUGCAAUAGGGUAAAAGGGACCUCAGAACAGAACUGGGUUCAAUUCCUGAUACAGCAUGAACAAGGGGGGAUUAUAGCCAAAAAGCACUAUGUGAGUCAGUGGAUGGAAAAAUUACUUGGAAGAAAUAUUAGAAGUAAGGAGGAAUUCUGUCUAAACUAACCUACGAGGAUUCUUGCUGAAGAUAGGCCAGGGUCAUCAGAUAUGAUUCCCUUCACAUCACCUGGAGGAUAGUGGAGGGUGGGGAACCCAAUUAGAUAUUGAUGGUGAUCAGAUAUGGAGCAUGGGAGAACCUGGCUAAACCAACUCUGCAAGAGUCUUGCUAAAAUUAAACCAACUCUGCAAGAGUCUUGCUAAAAUUAAACCAACUCUGCAAGAUUCUUGCUGCAAUUAGACAAUGCACACAAACACAGAAGUCCAAAAGUCAGGCCUAGUUGAAAAAGAGUUCAGGGAAGCCUGAUUGGAGUUUUGUCAAGAAGAAAACCUUUUGUCAGUUGAGAUAAAUAAAACUUCAAAAGGAGAAACAAGGAGGGAAGAGCAUUGCAGAUGAGAAAUAGCAUGAGCAGAGAUACAGAGGUGGGGGAGUAUUAAUAGAAAGGUAACAAUUAAUUGUGACUGUUUUGCACAAUCCAAAACAUUUAAUGAGUACUUGCCCCAUUCCAGGCACUGAUCUUUGUUCUGUGAAGAAACCAGGAAGCUUCCGGGCUGAGAUGGCAGUGGUGGAGGGAGUGACGCUGAGGACUGGAAGGUUUAAAAGCACAAAAAUAGAGUUUUGACUUUAAGAACAGGGCUAAGAUUCUUUUCUCAGAUGCAAGGUUUUACAUUUAUAUGUGUUUCUCUUCUUCAUUCAACCCUCUCUCCUGAUCCCUUCUCCAUCAGCUUAGUGAGAGCUCCAAGAACAUGAAGGGCUGGUUCAACAUGAACCAUAUAUGCAAGCCAACUGCCCCCUUCUUCACUGGAAUCCGGUCACUAAGGGACUGGUCUAGCUUAGGGGUUCACUCAGGGUUGGAGGCAACAACCAAGCUCUCAGGUGGGAAGACUUUCAGGGUAUCACCAGUCAGGGAUUAAUCAAUAAUAAUAAUAAUAAACAUAGUAAACAGGGUAAAUACACCCCUGCAAAGGAUGGAGAAAGAUGAAGUUGGAGGUUUUGGCCUGUGGAAGGGAGCAGUCUUGGUCUGGAUUACUAUGCUUUAUGAGAGAUGUACCUGACAGCAAUAACUUAAGCAUACCCCCAGAGUGACCCUGUAUGGCAGACAUACCUGAAAGCAAUAACAACUUAAGAAAUGAGGGUUGCCAGCUGGAGGUUGCUAAGGAAAGGGUGCUAAGUGAAAAUGCUAUAUAAACUGCAUGCAGUUUGCAAGCUGUAGCGGUUCUGUCCAGCCUGCCACCACUGACUGGACUGUCCUGUAAGUAUGUCCCCAUCAAAUAAACCCCAUGUUUCAUUCACUGGCUCUGGGUCUCUUCUUCUCGCUCUUGAACCUGAGACGAUCCCUAUUGAAGUUAAUAGGUGUCUGGUACAACAUAUGGAUAUUUUUGCCUUGAAUGGCAAACUGCAGUCUUUCCUCAUUUUGAUCUAGGAGAUGAUUUUUUUGAACUUGAAAUUGAAUUCCUACAUUGGUUCUGAUCUGUUCACAAUGAUAUUUCUGUACCAGAAAGCAGGAAUCCGGAGGAUUUUCAUGUAUGAGGAGUAAUCUCUGGAAUGACUGGAUUCUUAGGAAUUGGAGCGACACAAGGCUUAUAACUACAGUGCAGAGACUGUGUCACAUACAUCCACAAAUAAUACAGCUUCUCGGUAGACUCUGGAGCAGGCGAGAAAGCAGGCAGGCAUACAGUACAGUGUGUAGUAACUUUGGUACCAUCUGGUCCACAGGCAAUAAUGCCAGCACGAACCAAAUAUCUAAAGAGGACACUUCCACCACUGCCUUGUCCAGAUCUUUGCAUUUUUCAUUUUUCUGGUUUAGGGAGACUCUUUUCUCAUAGAUAUUCUCCUCCUGAAGACCAGAUGCCACAGAGAUCCUCAUCUCAGAAUGAACCUUCUCUGUAGGAACCUGGGAGGCUACCAAGCCACAGAGAUUUUCCAUCCUACUGAACCGAGUUGGCACUGGCUUUGUUUUUUCCAUCCAGGUUUCAUGACAGCCAGAUUUGCAUUGGCAUAAUUGGCAAAAACAGACAUCCUAGGCUCAGGAGCUGAAGCUCUUUCUUCUCUUGGUCAUGGCAAAUGGGUCAGAGGAAAUGAAAAAUGACUCUUUUGGCUUUGAUAACUGAUGGAUGGUGAUACUCUGAAUUAACACAGAGAAUAUUGGAAGAGAAGGAUGUUGAAAAGGAGAAGUGUUAUCCUAAAUUUAAUUUGAGGCAGGUUAAGUUUCAGAGGAAUUCAGAGCAUCUUUGAGUAAAGAUCAGCAAAGAAAAUGCAGAAGCAGGACUCAGACAGGACUGGAAUUAUAGAUCCAGAGCAUUUUAUGAUAGGUGAUGCUGUUAGAAUAGCGGACAUCACCCCCAAAGAAUUAGAUGGACACAAAGAAGAUAAAAGCAUAACUUGGGGAACACUUCAUCAUUCAUAUUGCAUUGGGAAAAAGAACCCAAUAAAAUAGAUAGGGAUAUUGCAUUCAGAAUGAAUGUUGAUGAUGGAUGCAGGGUUUCUUCUACCUAAUAAACUGAAUGCAAAAAUCAUGCUAACUGCUCUAGUCUCCUCAUUGACACUCAUAUAUGGCAGCUGAAUAAGUGCUGUUUGAUCAAGAUUUUAUCAAUAGACUGCUAAAAUUCCACAUCUAUUUUCAUACUCAGGUAUUCUUUUCUAUUUUCUCAAUUAUUUUAUACAUCGUCAAAUCCCACUGCGUUGAUUCAGCUCCACAUUUACCACCUAUUUUGACCCUUUAAAUAUCACAACCAAUUUCUUUGAAGAACCUAUUGUUUUUCUUCUGUGGUUAAGGCCUCAUUGUCUGGGAGUACAGGCUGAGUGUCCCUCAUCUGAAAUGCUUGGGACACAAAGUGUUUCAGAUUUUGGAAUAUUUGUAUAUACAUAAUUAGAUAUCUUAGGGAUUGAAUUCAAGUAUAAACACAGAAAUCAUUUAUGCUUUAUAUAUACCAUAUACACACAGCCUGAAGGUAAUUUUAUGUGACACUUUAAAUAACUUCUGCAUGAAACAAAGUUUGUAUACACUGCACCAUCAGAAAGCAGAGGCAUCACUAUCUCAGCCACCCCUGUGGACAAUCUGUGGUUGUUUGCUCUCACCAUUAUUCCUGACUCUGAAUUUAUAUGCUACCACUAAGCAAGCAUUUUCUUAUACUUAGUCACAUGUCAGGACUUAACAGUAAAAAAAUCUAACAUACCAUUAAUAUAAGAAAAAACAAUGUGUCCAGGAUAACUGACUAACACAGUAGCAUCAUCAGAAUAGCUGUAUCAGCUGUUAAAGAACAGCAACAAUCAACAACGGCAAGCUUUCAGUCUCUGUCUACCAUGCUGUGUGUUACCCUUUGUGGGCGUGAUUGCAUGGGGAAACCCGGGCAUGCACAGAAACAUAUCACAGCUCAGGGAGGCUGAGAGAAUCUCUUUGUCUUUGGGGAUGUUGAAUAAAUGGUGUGUUGUGCAUCUGUGUUUUAACUUCAGCCUAUCACACAAGGUCCAGUGUGGAAUUUUCCACUUGUGAUGUCAUGGUGGCACUCAAAUAGUUUUGGAUUUGGAAGCAUUUUGAAUUUCAGAUUUUUGGAUUAGGUACGCUCAGCCUGUACUGUCAUUGAGAGUUGGAGGGUGGAGUUUUGUUUCAUUAAUUAAAAACAUAAUUUCAUAUUCUAGUGACUUUGAUAGGAGCUGUGUAAUAAUGGAGGGUGGGCAGGCAUGAUAAUUGUCAUUAAAAACUUGCAGUCUACUUCAGGAGACAAACAUUCAUCAAAAAAAUUCUCACUGAUGUUGAAAUUGUGUGUUAUGAAUAAUAUGUGUCAUAUUACAGCAGACAUUCCUGAUAACUAAAUAUUUGAAUUGAGAUUUAAAUGAAAAAUAGAAGUCAGCUGGGUAACCUGCGUAAAGUGGGAAGCAUUCCGCAUUCCUUGUAGAAGAAACAGCUUGUGUCAUGACCCUGUAGUGCCUUCUGGAAACAAAACAAAACAAACAAGCAAACAAAAAAGUCAAUGUGGUGAGAACAAAAUGUGAGAAGAAAGUGAAGCCAUAAAGCUAAUAUGAGCCUGUUCUUCUUUCCUCCUGGCACGCAGCUAAAAUUCAUUCCUCCCUAGGCAGAGUCAGAAGACUGAGUUCUGGCCUAAGUAAUGUGAGCGAAAGGGGCUCAGGCUUCUUCUACAAAAGCUCAUGAAAAUCUCUUUUGUGCUUCAUUCCAUUCUUUCUCUUCCUGGUCUACUAUGUGGAUGCAGAGGAACCAAAGGAAAACUCUGCUCCCUCUAUCAUGUGGAGGGCGCCUUCUGCAAACCAGGAACACACAUUUUUAACCUCACUUGAAUAACACAUAAACUUACACUGCAACAUUCCAUUAUAUAUUUGGGGGCUUUUAUUUUAUACUUUACGUUCUGGGACACAUGUGCAGAACGUGCAGGUUUGUUACAUAAGUAUACACGUGCCAUGGUGGUUUGCUACACUCAUCAAUCCGUCAUCUGCAUUAGGUAUCCCUCCCCUGUCCCACCACCCCCGACAGGCCCCAAUGUGUGAUGUUCCCCUCCCUGCGUCCAUGUGUUCUCAUUGUUCAGCUCCCAGUUAUGAGUGAGAACACGCAUUCUUUAGUUUUCUGUUCCUGUGUUAGUUUGCUGAGAAUGAUGGUUUGCAGCUUCAUCCAUGUCCCUGCAAAGGACAUGAACUCAUCCUUUUUUAUGGCUGCAUAGUAUUCUAUGGUGCAUACCUGCCACAUUUUCUUUAUCUAGUCUAUUCUUGAUGGGCAUUUGGGUUGGUUCCAAGUCUUUGCUAUUGUGAAUAGUGCUGCAAUAAACGUACGUGUGCAUGUGUCUUUGAGUCUUGUUUUUUAUAGCAGUGAGUGUUUUAGUACACCUUGUUUUGUAUAGUAAGCCUACCUACACUCCACUUUCAAUAGCAUUCUUAGAGCAAUAAUGCUCAUACUGUUUUAUAAAACAUUCCAAAAGCGUUCUAGAAAUGGAAUGGGGGAGUUGUGAGUAUGUGAAAUGAAGUAACAAGAAAUGUUUAAGGAAAUGUUCUGUGGCUAUCUAAGGAUGCUAAGGAAAAGGAAAGACAGCCGAUGAAGUGAUCUGUAAGAAUUAUAGUGACAUGAAAUUUUAUAACUGAAAUGUAAAGCAGUUAAAUAUUGCAAAUCCUUUCCAAAUAGUAUAUACAGCAGCUAAAAUAUAUCAGAUCACUAAAUAAUUGUGAUCUUACAUCAGUUUCUAUAAAAAGAGCUCAGAAGAUUGUUGGUUCAAAAUUUCAUAUGUGGGCCAGGCACAGUGGCUCACACCUGUAAUCCCAGCACUUUGGGAGGCCAAGGCCAGCCGAUAGCUUGAGCCCACGAGUUGGAAACCAGCUUGGGCAACAGGGCAAAAUCCUGUCUCUACCAACAUUUUUAAAAAAUAGCCAGGUGUGGUGGCAGACACUCGUAGUCCCAGCUACUCAAGAGGCUAAGGUAUGAAGAUCACCUGAGCCUGGGGAGGUCAAGACUGCAGUGAGCAGCGAUCAUGCCACUGCACCUCAGCCUGAUUGACAGAGGUAAAUUUUAAAAAAAAUACAUAUAAUAAGCUGUAAUUUCACACUUGUGGUAUAUUUUGUUUUGCUUAAAGAAUGUACUUUAAUAAAUAUAUUUUGAAAUGAUAGAAAAAUAUUUUAAAAAGCUGUAUCUCAAUCUACACGUGAAGAUUUAGUAUUCAGUAUUCCAAAGAUCAUGUAAUGGAAUUAGAUAAAAUUUCCAAAUUUAAAAACGAAAGAAGAAAUGCUGCUCUCUUAUGAAUUCUCACUCUAAAUUCAUUAAUUUAAGAUAUAUGUGGGCUUUCCUUGUACUUUAAAAUUGAAGAAAAUUCAGAAUGCUUAACCUCAUCUUUAAUCAAAGUGUAAUAAAUUACAAACCACACCAAAAUCUCUACCUACUGAAAACUUCUGAAGGUGGGAAAGAGUAUAGAGCCUAUAGCUGACUCCCUACAAUAUUCUAUAUGGCAACGUGAAUCCAUAGCAGGCUUAAUGUAAAGCAUCUAUUUUCUAAUAUCAUUGACAUUUACACACACACACACACACACACACACGUGGUUUGUUUGAAAAUUAAUCAUCAGGCCAGGCGUGGUGGCUCACACCUGUAUUCCCAGCACUUUGGGAGGCUGAGGUGGGCAGACCACCCGAGGUCAGGAGUUCUAGACCAGCCUGGCCAACAUGGUGAAACCCCCAUCUCUACUAAACAUAUAAAAAUUAUCCAGGCAUAGUGGCAUGCACCUGUAAUCUGGAGGCUACUCAGGAGGCUGAGGCAGGAGAAUCGCUUGAAUCUGGGCGGUGGAGGUUGCAGUGAGCUGAAAUCGUGACAUUGCACUCUAGCCUGGCUAAUUAGGGCAAAAUUCCAUCUCAAAAAAAUGAAAAAGAAAAUUAACCAUCAGAUGUAUAUUAAACACACACAAACUUGCAGACAUAUAUAUUACCAUCAUACGUGCAUAUAACAAUGACAUUUGUAUGUGUGUGUUUGUGUGUGUGUGUGGUGGUAUUCCAAAUACGUGCUUAUAAAUCACACUAAAAUUUGAUUAAAAGGUGAUGAUGUGGAGACACUUAGGUGUUUGGAAUCAUACACAGCUGAGAGCCAAGCUGCAGCUCUACACUUAGUCUUUAAAAAUGAGGCUUAUGUCCUUCUUGGGGACCCCACUCCUCAGUUCCUCACUGAGCUAUCAGGAUUACAUGAAGUUGAUAAAAGAUAUUUGGAGAGGCUGUCCAAAUGAGAAAAAUAAGUUUUGUACCUCCAAGGAGCUGACAGUCUAGUAGAAAAUAUGUAUAGCUAAUAAUUAAUGGCCAUAUAUUAUAAUAGGUGCUAAUAAAAAGGUAGGCCCAUGUAUACACAGGCCCCAAGAAAGGAACAGCCUGAGAAUAUCAUCAUAGGCAUGCACCUAGACACCUUUUGUGGUAUCAAGUCUGGUGGCAUCAGAAAGCACACUGGAAGGAACAGUUCUCAUCAUAUGACUUUAAAAUGUAAAACUUUAAAUGAAGAGCAAUGAAUGAGCUUGUUAAAGAAAAAAAAAAAAACAACGCUCAUGUUUGGUGGUACGACGAUAUUUAAUAAGAAAUGUUUAAGAAUGAUUGUGUCUAAAACCUAAAAUAUAAUAAUUAAAAAAAUAAAAAUAAAAAUAAAAAAAAAGAAAGUAUGCUUAGUAAGGCAAUAGCCAAGUUGUUAAAUAUAAAUUCACACUUGGUAAACGGUUUAAUAUCUGAUGUUUAUAAAUUACAUAAUUAGAAUCAUUUAAUAUCCACUGUAUACUUGAAACAAUUUUUAAAAACAGCCUUGUGACCAAUUAUAUUAACUUCAUGUUUAUAUUAAUUCUUAAUUUUUAAAAUAAAAGUCUAUAGUUUCAUUCCAAAACAAAACAAAACAAAACAAAAAAGAAUGAUUGUGUCAUUCUUAUUGUUGCUUUAAAAAAGGUCUAUCACAUUUCAAAAUAAGAUUUUGUUCAUAGCAAAAAUGACCCUGACAAUUAUUUUUUGAAGAGACUGUGCCCUUGCUGGCAAAACAGUGCACACUCAUUAACAGUUAGGCUGGCUAAGAUCCAGUUGGGUCAAAUGCUGAUUAAUUAGCUCAUCUGAUUGUCAGAGGAACAACCCCUUCUCAUAUGAACUGUCACCAACUUUGAAAUUUCUCAUCAAAGGUCCUUAAAGUUACCAAACUGCACUUAUAAUGGUUUUCUGUCUACUAUGUUUGUUGUAAAUGUAUGCUUUAUCCAUUAUCUAAUUUUACUUUCACUGCUAACAUAGCAUUUUAUGAAGCAUUAGUACAGCCUCCCACAAAUACCUUUUAUUAACCUGGUGUAAUCCUGCUAGUUCAAUGAAGUACUGAGGAGGGGCGCUCACUCAGAAGGCCCGAAGUGUGAUCUCUAGAGACUAAGCAUAGCGUUGCAGCUUGACUAUCAGCUGUGUAUGAUUCUAAACACCUGAGUAUCACCACAUCAUCAUCUCUCAAGCUUGUAGCAUUCCAACUGCUCUUAUUAAAUUUUAGUGUGAGUUAUGAGCACAUGUUUGGAAGUAACACCACCAUACACACAAAUGUUAUGGUUAUUUAUGUGUAUGUGUGUGAUGUUAAUAUAUAUGUGUGUGUUAGUUAAUACAUGUGUGCAUAUUUAUGUGUGUGUGAUUAAUAUAUAGUGAUGGUUAAUUAUCUUUGGUGAACCCUAACAAACUCUAUAUGUGUGGGGGAGUGUGUGUGUAUGUGUGUGUAAAUGUCAAUGGUAGAAAAUAGAUGCUUUAUCUUAAGCCUAAUAUUAAUUCACUUUGCUAUGUAGAAUAUUGUAGGGAGUCAGAUGUAGGCUCUGUACUGUCUCCUACCUUUAGAAGUUUUCAGUAGGUAGAGAUUUUGGUGUGGUUUGUAAUUUAUUACACUUUGAUUAAGGAUAAGGCUAAGUAUUCUGAAUUUUCCUUAAAUAUUAAAAUUACAAAGAAAGGCCACAUACAUCUUAAAUUAAUGAAUUUAGAGUGGGAAUUCAUAAGAAAGCAGCACUUCUUUAGUUUAUAAAUUUGGAAAUUUUAUUUAAUUCCAUUAAAUGAUGUUUGGAAUACUGCAAACUAAAUCUUAAUGUGUAGACCCAGGUACAUUUUAAAAUACUAUUUUUCUGUAAUUUAAUAUAUAUUUAUUAAAGCAUAUUCUUUAAGCAAAAUAAAAUAUACCACAGUUGUGAAAUUACAGCUUGUGAUACAUAAUUUUGCUUUGUUUUCUUUUGUUUGUUUGUUUUUUGUUGUUGUUGUUUUUGUUUUGAGACAGGGGCUCACUUUGUCACCCAGGCUGGAGUUUAGUGGCAUCAUCAUGGCUCACUGCAACCUUGACCUCUCAGGCACAAGUAGUCUUCCUACUUCAGCCUCCUGAGUAGCUGGGACUAUAGGUGCACACUACCACACCCAACUCUUUGUUUCUCUCUCUUUCUUUCUCCCUCUCUCUCCUUCCUUCCUUCUUUCCUUCCUUCCUUCCUUCCCUCCCUCCCUACCUCUCUUUCUCUCUUCUUUCUUUCUUUCUUUCUUUCUUUCUUUCUUUCUUUCUUUCUUUCUUUCUUUCUUUCUUUCUUUCUCUCUUUCUUUCUUUCUUUCUUUCUUUCGUCGAUCUGUCUUUCUUUCUUUCUUUCUUUCUGUCGAUCUGUCUUUCUUUCUUUCUUUUCUUUCAUAGAGAUGAGUUUUAGCCAUGUUCUAAAUUUCUAGGCCUAUUUUGAUUACUUGUCAAUUUUAUUUUUAAUAGGUAACUCUGAAUUCUUAAAAUAACUUGACACUCAUAGGAGAAUAAUGUAACAAAGUCAUAUGUAGGAAAUUAGUUUAUCUUUUCAGAUAAACUUACCUAACUAUGUUGUAAAGAAUUUGCACAAGUUUUUCAUUUUAUUCCAUUACCUCAUUUAAGGCUCAGGUGCUGAAAAUGGGGAUGAGAGAGAGCAAAGAUACUCAGGUUUAGGCCGAGUGCAGUGGCUCACACCUGUAAUCUCAGCACUUUGGGAGGCGGAGGCGGGCGGAUCACAAGGUCAGGAGAUUGAGACCCUCCUGGACAACAUGGUGAAACCCCAUCUCUACUAAAAAUACAAAAAUUAGCCAGGUGUGGUGGCGUGUGCCUGUAAUCCCAGCUACUCGGGAGGCUGAGACAGGAAAAUCGCUUGAACCAGGGAAUCGGAGGUUGCAGUGAGCCGAGAUCGUGCCACUGCACUCCAGUCUGGUGAUAGAGCGAGACUCUGAAAAAAACAAAACAAAACAAAAAAAGAUACUCAACUUUGGGCCAAUAAUUUCAGGACCACCAACAUAUUGUGAUUCAACACAUGAACUGAAUUGGCUCAGAUGGGGCUUAUGCUUUGGUUUCCUUCUUUGGUGUGAAGGAAUAGGGUUAUUAUGAACCAAACAGGUUAAAUGUAGGUGCCACUUUGAUGCUUCAUCAGUGCCUUACUAUUAUUCCAAAUUUAACUCUAAUAUUUUUGAGUAUCAUUCCCUUCUUCAUACAGUGAUUCAUAAGAAUCUGACCCAGCCUACAACCCCAAAAGUUACCCUAAGGAUAAUCCCAUAACCUUUGCAAUAAUUGGUUUAAGAACAUUGGCCAAUAGGCCUUUGGCUUUCUCCUAGCCAUUAGGAUUGCUUCAGAAGUGAGCACAGUCAGGCCACUGAGACACAGGAGAAAUGUAGGGGCAGGGCCGGCUUCUGGAGGAAGAAGCUUCCUUACUAUGACAAGAGAGCUUAUGGAAAUAAUGCACUGUCUUCCGACGAAUGAUGUAGUGUGAGGAUGUGAAUGUAGAUUUCUGUAACUAGCCAACAUAAAAGGGGUACCCCAAAGACAACAAGCAAAUAAAGGAAUGCACCACUGUGGAAAGGAAAGUGGACUCCUUAUAUCAAUCAUGACUCUUUCCCCAGCUCAUGUUCCAAACUGUGUCAGCAAAUAAAUUCCCUAGUUGUUUAAGCUAGACUUAAUUGGGUUUUCCAUUACUUGCAGCUAAAGGUACCCUUCUGACAGUUCCACUAUGCGCUAGGUACUCUAUUCGCAUUGACUAACUGAAUUCUUUCAGUGCAGUGAUGAUUAUCCACAUUAUACAGAUAAGAAAACUGAAGCUCGGGGUGUCAUAUAAUAGUAUCAGUGUAACAUGGAAGAGCCCAUAAUUUUAAACAAUGUUUGUUGUUUGUUUUCCUGACUCUGAAGCCUAGGAGUGAAAUUGUUUUACUUUGAAAAAUAACAUUUAAAAAUUAUUUCAGUCUCCUUAUGUUAGUACUUUUUAUGGUUUAUUAGUAAUUUUGAAAUAUUUUGUCUUGAAAAAAUAGAUAUGAAAACUUGGGCUGCUAGGCCUAAUGAUGCCUUAUAAAUCUAGAUUCAUAAUCUACAUCAGGGGCAAAUAUACAAUACCCAUACACUUGCCUAAAAGAGAAGUGGCUUUCAAAAAUGCAUUCAUAAAAAAGGAACUCAAUCCCAAAUCGUUAUGUAAAACCAGCUCUAGUACAAGGAGAGUGUUACACAACUGUGUAUAAAUAUGGCUCAGAAUAUCUUUAGGGUAUUUUUCUAAAUCAAAUUUCAAAGAGUUAUGUCAUUUAUAUGAAAUAGCAAAUAUGAAUAAAGCAUAGGGCUAAGGUCAUGCAAAAGUAAUGCUAAAGGAAACUGAUAUUUAUAUAAAUUGCAUUAUACUUAACAAUGGAAAAAUAAAAAUGUAACAAGACCUAUAUUAAUCUUGUCACCUCAAUGUUUUAUAAGAACUGAUUUAAACUAUGCAUUUUUUUCAAUUAUUUUAUAAGCGAUCUCUUGUUCUGAGUUUCUUCCAUUUGUCUUAAAAAUAGCUGCAAUGGUGUGUUAAAAAGCUAAGCCCAAACCUUCCCCGAUCCACCUCCCCGCCUUGGGUGAUGAGGAAUCUGUGAGCCAUCUUUGCCUUCCUUCUCCCUUCAGAUUCUCAUUCUCAACUUCAUUCCCGCCUCAACCCACAGACAUCUCAGGUUUUCCCUCACUGGGGUUUGAAAACGGACUGAACUACAAACAAGUAAUUCAAGUGGUGAUUCCAACAGCUGCUUCUAUUCACUGUGCCUUGCUUCCCUUUCUUUCACCAGACGUUCUCUUUCCUUCACUUCCAGGACCCUACACUCCUCCCAGUAUUUCUCCUGGAUAUUUCUUGGUCACUUUCUCAGAUUUCUCUCUUCUCCAUCCUUCAAUACAAGACCCUCAAAGCUAUGUCCUAAGUUUUCUUUUGUUUCUAUUAGACAUUUCUCCCCUGAGCAGUGACUGUCGGCUCCCACACUGUGGUUAUCAUCACAUGCUGAUGAUUCCAAAGGCUCUCGUGGGGAUAACGCAUUUCUGCAACAUACUACAGGAUAACCAUCUCCAAGAUAUUAAAACAUAGGGAACAAAAUGCCGUAGUGUUGCCUCGUUAUCUAUUAAUGAGUAUUAUAUAUUAAAUAUUAUAAAUAUAUUAAUAUGACUAUAUUUAUUAUUUAUACUUAAUAUCAUAAAUAUAUUAAUUUUACAUUUAUAUUUAUAGAUCAGAGUGAGGAUACUAACGAGCUGCUCAGUAUUUAGAAAAAGUGAUAACGAAAGCAAAAAAAAUUUCUUUUCCUUUUUAGAGAUAGGGAAGGUUCAUUGUGCCUUAUUCUUUAACCUAAAUAUACUAGGUGAAAUCUAUGAAAAUAGAAACACAUUCAGGGUGAUCUGGUCUCUGCGUUGCUUGGGUUAAUUUUUGCCGAUAUUCUAGUAGUACCUUUGCACAGUUACUCACUCUGGAUAAGGCUUUCUAGAGUUGUCCAUGUGAAAAUCAUCUUGAUCACAAAUCAACACCUGCAAUUCCAAGUGUCUGACCUUGUGACUUUCAAAUCAGGGCUUGUGUUAUAAAUCACGGUUUAUUUUCUCUUCCUGUAGCAUCUUAAUAUCUACGGCAUGCCCCUGAUUAUCAGCAGUUACAGCAUUCUCCAGGAUGAUAGCCUAUGUCUUUGGGGUGUCUUCUAAGGCUGCCCAAAGUGAAUUUAAAUGAUGAUAUAACCUCUAUUUUAACUCAGGUCACCCCGAAAUAUCCUCUUGAGAAAACCCAACCAGUUGUUUUGGGUAAUAUAGCACAGUAACAGAAAGAGAUAAAUGUGUGAUUCUAUAUGCACGCAAAAGACCAAAACAGAUGUGAAAAUAUAAUCUCAAAGCCUUUGGGAAGUGACACUUGAUUUUGCUAUGGGGAAACCUUUUCUUGAAGUCACCCACUCAAGACUAGAUUUUUUGCUUGAUGGUAGAUUGAUUACCCAUUAUCUUUCACUAGAGUUCUAGUAAGGGCUUCUUUAGAGGGAACAGAAAUCUUAUUUUCUCUUAUUGCCAGAUCACUCUUCUGUUCUUCACUGUUGCCACAGUCAUUAUUGUAUUACAGCUACUUAUGCAUAUGAUCACAUUUCUAGAUUGUAAACUCCUCAUGCUCAGAAUAUCCUUAUCUUAUCAAUUCUUACUGCAUCAUUUUGGAUAAUAAGAAAAAAAACCAUUGGAAAAAUUUCUAGUUGAGUUUAGACAAUGCUACUAUUAUUUGGCAAUCAACUUGGAAGUAUGAUUUCCUCUGCACCUUAGCAUCGUGUUCAACAACAACAAAAACGUAUGAUUAAAGUAGCUUAAAACAUAAACUGCAUUCUAAUUUUAUAUGAAAAAUGUCUCUAAGUAAAAUAAAAUUGGAUUAUUCAAAUAAUCAUUUUUUUUGCUAAAAGUGGCCAUCAUUUUCUUGUUUAUUAUAAUAUACUACACUGAGUUUUGACCUUUGAUAACCAUUUUACGAAAUUAUGUUGGAUUAAUGCAUCUGAUAUUUUUGCAACCUAAAUUUUCUCCUUUUUCUCUCAGCAUAGGUCACUUUCAAUAUUCUAUCAGCAGUUAAAAUAUUAUUGUUUUCAUAAAAUUUCAACUCUAAACCUAAUUUGUAUAAUCUUGGAAAGCUCAGCUACUGCUAUUAUAAUUUAUCAUUUUAUUUCAUUGAUAUAACACUGAAACAUUACAUAUUAUUGCAAUAUAACAAAAUAAAAUAAAGUAUCUUAGGAGAUGGCUGAUUCUGACCUUUCUAUCACCUGUUGGAGAAAGGCAUUUCCUGUAUAUAAUAACCUGUAGGAAAAUGCUAAAUCUUUCUGGAAACAUACAUUUUAGUCACUUAGGUAGUGGAGGCCUUAUAAUUCAAGAAUAAUUUACCAUUCUGAAGAUGAGUCUAGAUUUCCACCAAUUCUUGGGUCCGUAUGUUUUGUGGCAUUGAUUAAACACAGAAGGUGUGUUUGUCAAUCAGCCUUUCCUUGAAAGGUUUAAAGUUGCUUAAAACCCAGAAUUUUAGCCUUCAUCAUGAUACAGUCAUAUUGUUUUGAAUUAUGUAAUAUUUGACAAGUGGUUCUAUCAGCUGAAUUAAUUUUUCAAUUGUCUCUAAUUGCCUUUUAUUUCUUGGGGUGAUAUUUCACACAAAUUUGAGAUGAGAGUGUCAUUUGGCCAAAUGUAUCUAAACAUCCCAUUUAUUCAACAUUUAUUCACUACCCGCUGCUAUUUUCCAGGCACAGACUGACCUAGGUAAUGGGGAUAAAGCUUUGAUGAAAACAUACAAAACAUCCAGCUUACCUUGAGCUUACAUUUUAAUAAUAUUUACCACAAAACAAAUCAGCAGUUCUAACAUUUCCUAAAUAUGAUCUCAAUUGAUAAGCAUUCUUCAUUACAGGUACUUAAUAAAGCAAACAUUAUAUAUUAAGACAAAACAUACACUUAUAGGAGUGUGGGCCAGGAAAGAAGAAAUAAUGAAACAGGCAGAAAAUAGUCUGGGAUUUGAGCUCAGAAAAAUGUGGUUUGUUUCUAAUUUGCUUCCAUAUAUUUAGAUCUUGCCAAAGUAUUUACUAAAUCUCUUGAAUCUUUUUUUUUUUAAAAAUUGGGGAUAAUACCUCAUUUGUUUUCAGAGUUGUUCUGAGGAUUCUGUAAUUGUAGAAAAUAUUUUCUUUUACAAUGUAGCAAUUAAUCAAGGUAAUAAUAGUCAUAUAAAGGUGUGGUCACUGCCCUACUUUCACUAACAAAAACUUUAAAUUAUCAUUUGAGGUGCAAACUUCAAUAAAAAACAAACAAGUCAUAUAAUACAUGUUACUUUCAACAAACAAGUCAUAUAAUUCUGGUCAUCUAAGUAAAGUAUGAAAUUGAUGGUUAUAGAUAAAAUUCCCCUGUUAAAUUUCUACCACUGCAGAAUUAUUCUAUACAUUAAUAAACCAGAAAAGCUAUACAUUAUUAUUUAGGGUUUAACAAAAAAAGUCAUGCUGUCUUUUUAACUGCUUACUGAAAAUACAUGCCUUAAGCAUAGGAAAUAUAAUUGGUUAGGUGAGGGAAAGAGUGUGUUUUGGGAUGAAUUUUGAGCUUGCUGCCUUGGUUGGAUCUAAAAUUGUAGAAUCAUGAGCUUCUACAAGCAGCAAGUAAGAGUCAGGAAAUAGGAUCAGAAAGAGGUUUAAGAGAACGUGGGUUAAAAGUGAAAGGGGUUAUUCUUUGCAAUAUUAUGUACACUAAGAAACUUCAAGGCAAGCUGUUAUUUUCACAUAAAUAAUUUUACAUUACAUGAUAUUGAGGCACCAAAACUUACAUCUUAUUUUCUACUCAAUGUCAUUUGUAUUUUUUGGUUGUUUGUUAGAUUCAUGUGAGGGGGUUGAAAUUAAACAGCUUGUGUCUAGGGUAAUUUUUAGUCUCUUCCUGGAACCAAAUUUGUGAAAUGAUGAAUGAUGAACUACGUAUCUUUCAAUGAGUGAGUCUCUAGCGGGCAGUCAGCAGCAAACAGAGCACCCGUUAGACUGAUGUGACAACUUAACUGAAGGUUAACAGUCUGUUCUAUUUAUGGAGCUUUCUGGAGGGUUGCAAACACUAUUUACCAUAACGUUAACUUCUCAGUGGGCUGGCAUUUUGGCACACAAAGAGGUCUGAGGCGCUUCCUAUUAUAACAUUCUCAUUAGUCAGUGGAACGUGGUGUAUAGGUGGCUAUAUUAUCAUCAAUACAAUCCAUCUUUAAGAUUUCUAGAGGCUGUUUGCUUAUUUAGGUUUAUAGAUCCUAUCAUAUCGUUCCUCUAUAGAGCUCAGAAAGGAAUGGAAUUUUGAGAAGUAGCUGUUUGAGACUUAAUAAAAAAAUACUUGUUUAGAAAAUAUUUAACAACAACAACAAAAAUUGAGAGGGAAUUAGAUAUCGGCUAUGUACACUCCCAAGUGGAAUGUAUCGAGACCCGAAAUUUCUCUGUUGGAUCAAAUAUGUAAUGAAAUCAUCUAGGGAGAGUGAUUUUAUGUCACUACGGAUAGACCUUUUUUCCCAGCAAAAACAUAUUUAGUAGACAAAUAAAUAAACACAAAGUAAAAUACGUCAGCUACAAUUUUGCAGACCCAAGUCUCAAGGAAUUGGCUGUCUGUUUUACAUUGUUAAAAAGUAUUUAAAGGACUUUUUCAUCUGGAAAAUAAUAGGAAGCAUACUAUUGAAAAUAGAAAUGAUUGAAAGGGGAGUUAAUGGAGCAGAGAUUUUUUAAAAAUCUGACUUAAUUCACAUUUACUAACUGUCUACAGCAAGCAACAAACCCACAGUUAUAAAUGCAUAACAUGUGGUAAGGAGUAUAAGUUCUGAAGUUCACAUCCUGGAGCUUAGCACUUACAGGUUAGAUGAUGUUGAACAGAUUCACUUCUCUGAAUCUUUGAUUUUCUCAUUUAUAAAGCAGAGAUAAAAUGAAGUUUGGGAGAUAUUUAUAAAAGAUAGCACAUAGAAAAUACCAACUUAUAGUAAUUAUUCAAUAAAAUAUAGUAGAAAUAAAAUUUAAGUACACUGAAUAUACUGUAAUCUCUUAUGGAAUCCCUUCUUUUCAAAAUAGCACAAUCUAACUUAAAAGAAUUAACUACCUCAUUUGAAAAAUAAAUAGUAUAUAAUAUUCUUAUGUAUCUUAGUUAAGGUUGUGUUUUCCUGGAGCUGAGGAUGAAUGGCAUGCACGUGUCUAAGACGCAGUUACAAGAUCUAGCAACAAACAUUGUAUAAUAAGAAAUCAAAUAUUGAGUGCUUCAAAUGUUCUCUGAGCAAAAUUUAAUACAGAUUCACUAGUUAACACUUGGAGAAGUACAGAUUUACUAGUGGCUCCAGGCAAAACUAUCAUCUCACUCAAUUAAGAUUACACAGUUUAAUUUCACGUUGUUGGGUUUACUUUCUGGUACUUGGAAAAUAUAUUAUAACUUAGAAAUAUUAUUUAAUGGGCAAAAAUAACUUAGCAAUGCUUUAAAACUGUGAAAAGGUAGUCAAUAUUAAAGAAAUUAGGAACAAAUGACUAAAUUUAUUAGAAUAACCAAUAACCAGGCAUAGAAAAUUAAAAUGAUUGCUUAUGGAGACUAGUUGGAUGACGACAUCUAUUGCUGCAACAUCUUUGACCUGGGUUUCUACUCCCACUACUUACCAUACCCAGGUCUCUGUAUCUAUACACAUGUCCUUAUCUCUCCCAAGCAAUCCUGAAUCAAAAAAUGAAAACAAAAUCGCUGACUUUAACUCUUCACUUUUCAAAAGCCAUGAAAAAUGAACAUACUUGAUUUUUUCUUGUAUUCAUUAUAAUUAAAAAUGAAAUUAAAUAUUAAUGUGUUCAAAUUUGUACAUUUUUAACGAGCAAAGGAAAUUGCUUUACAAAUAUUGAUCUUGUUUAUGGCCUUUAUGUAGAUAUUCAAGAGUUUUAUUUUUAUACUAAGCUUUUUUUUUAUGUUAUUCACAGAGAAAUCCACUUUUUUAAAGUCGAAAAUUUUCUUGAUUCCUUGAAUACAUGUUUUAAAUUUAAUCAAGAAACAAAAAAAUUUAAAAGUCUAAUUAGAUGAAAACUGUGAUAUCUUGUUUAAAUCUACACGUUGGAUUCUGGAUAAUUAUUACCACUAUUUUGUUCUAUAGUCACGGUAGAAGUGCUUUAAAUUUUGAACUUCUUAAAAAAUAAAAAUUAGAUUUUUGAGGAAAUGCAGCACAUAUUUUUAAAGGAAUGUGUAUGUUUGUAAACGUAGGCAAAUCUCUGUAGAAGGAAGCUCUAAAUCUAGUCUCAGCACUUAGGCAAAAACUUAACUGCCAAUAAAAGAGAAGUCACAGACACCUACCUGUUUACCCCUGUGCAGAACAAUAUUUUUGUUUUUAUCUUUAUUAACUAAAUACUAUUUUUAACUAGCAAAAGCAUUACUAAAUUCACUCUAUAUUCUUCACUUUAAAUAUUAAAUAAAAAUAAUGUAAUAAGAAUUUAUUAAAUUAGGGUAAUCUAAUUCAGCAAUCUAAGUUAGAUACAAAAUUUCAAAUUUGCAAAAAUGAAUUUUGGCAGGUGAUAAGAUUAUCAAAUAAUAGGUAACUUUUCUUAAAUUUAGAAAUUCUGAAUGAAAGCCUGAUUGUAAUACUGUAUCAUCUGUAGUUAUUACUGUGGAGCCCUCACCACUCUUAGGAGUUAGGCAUUUUAUCAGUCAUCUACAUAUAGUGUUUCGGCUAAAAAUAAUUACAACAGAGAAUUCAUUCACUGAAUACAUGAAACUAGAAAAAUGGUCAUUAUCCAUGCAGACAGAUAUGAAUGUACUAUUUUACAAAAUCAUCUCUAGAACUUUCCUGAUUAUGAGGGAAUGGUAAAGAGAAAUUCUAAGGCCUCAGUUUCUCAUUUCCCUCAACAGAAAUGUAGGAAAGUCUUCCCCAGUUUUCUGACCUGGGAGUUUACCAACUUGAUCAGCACUUGUAUCAGAGGAAAGGUGACAAAACGGUUUAUAAGAAAAUAUCUCCUUGCAUUCUUUAUUACAACACAGAAAUGUAUCCAUCUCUUAAUUAAGGAAAAUGAUUUUCUAAACAUCUGGAAACAUCACUAGAUUUAUUUUUAGCCUGAAGUUAAAAGAAAACAUUUGGGUCUACUUGACAUGGGUGGAUCUAUCCAAUCACCUCUGUAAUCAAGAUGCUGGUGCCCUGACUGAUCAUACUAUGUGCCAAGACAGGUCAGAAUCUAGGUGCUAAUUGGAUUAAGGUGGGGAGAAAUCGAAGGAGAAAGAAAAGAGGGAAGAAAAGAGAUGGGAAGAAGGAGAAAAAUAAGCUUUGUUUAUGGUCAUAUGCUGCCCACCACAAAAGCUUGCUCAGGAGCUGGACUCUGUACAAAUGUGGUCCUGCAGUAUAGAUCAUACAUAGACCGGAAAAUAAAUAACACUACUUAUAUAACAAAAGAUAAGGCAUGGGUUUCUUUCAUUCAUUUUUUUUUAUGUCUUUUGGCCUCUUAUUCUUUUUUUUAUUAUUACACUUUAAGUUUUAGGGUACAUUCACAAUAGCAAAGACUUGGAACCAAACCAAAUGUCCAACAAUGAUAGACUGGAUUAAGAAAAUGUGGCACAUAUACACCAUGGAAUACUAUGCAGCCAUAAAAAAUGAUGAGUUCAUGUCCUUUGUAGGGACAUGGAUGAAGCUGGAAACCAUCAUUCUCAGCAAACUAUUGCAAGGACAAAAAACCAAACACCUCAUGUUCUCACUCAUAGGUGGGAAUUGAACAAUGAGAACACAUGGACACAGGAAGGGGAACAUCACACACCAGGGCCUGUUGUGGGGUGGGGAGAGGGGUGAGGGAUAGCAUUAGGAUAUAUACCUAAUGUUAAAUGACGAGUUGAUGGGUGCAGCACACCAACAUGGCACAUUUUGAAACUGAAAUCAUUUGACUCUGAGCAGGAUGUUCAUACUACAUGGUGUAAACAUCCACCAGAAUUUCCUUAUACCAGCUUCUCUUGACUCCAAACAUAUUCAUUAUGAUCAGAUGUGCCUUACUAAGACUCCACUGCCAUCUUAUUACCCCUUGGUGAAGAAUCUAAAAUAUUUACAUUAUCAAAUCACACUUUCCACCAUUUACAAAUUUUCCCGCAAUCAUGCCUGUCAACAUGGUAUUAUUCUUAUUUUUUCCCUCCUGCUUAUAAACCUCUCUCCCUGUCUGGGCCUUAGUGUAUUCCAGAUUCUCUUCAGGUGUCACUUAAUUCAUGAAGCAUCCCCUGAAUAUUCAUCUUCAAUGUCCUGUGGAACAGGUUUAAAAAUAAUGGUUCCAAGUGUCUUAUUAAUUAGCUUGUUUAUGGAAUACCCUCUAUGUACAGGCUCUAUGCUGAUCAAGCAAAUAGAAAAAGAGAGAGAAUAAGUUCUUAAAUAAGUUCUUGGUCUAGUAUAUAAAACGUCUUAAUGCUUAAUUAGAAUCAACUGUGAUACAUACAAACAUUGUAAUUGCACAAGUUAUAGCCAUAAUACACAGGGGGAAAUAAUUGUUGGCAUUUUGGAAAAAGGAAAGGGAAAAAUAGACACCACACAUGUGUGCACACAUACACAUAUUUUAUUUAAGCAGCAAGGUUUCCAAAUCAGGAACUCUAUGUUUUUCAGAGGAGAGUUUCCCAAGCACCCAUAUUAUCAGAACCAUCUCGGGUACUUUAUGAAAAAAAAAAUUAAUGGACCUCACUGCUAUAAAGUUAGACUCUGUAACUCUGAAUUGCUGCCCAUAGGAUCUAUAUUUUAAAAGCUCUCAUUUUAAUGUCAAUGAUGAGUUGAGUCUGGUUACCAGAAGAGUCUCGGGCAAAUCAGGUCACCCUACUUGUAGGUUGCAGAUUGGUGACCCUUAGGUACAUGGGGGCAUAACUCAUUUCUAUCAACCAUGAAGGUUUGCACAAAAACUCAAUUGAUCUUCAAAUAACACAAUUAUCAAAUCUACUAGUCCCGUUCCCCUAAGUUUCAACAAUCCAAGUUUAAUCCCUUUAAUUUUUAUGUUUGAAAACUUAGAAGUGAUUGCUUUUGACUGGAGCUUUUUAGGUUCCAUGCUUUUCUUUUUGAUACUUACUUUAUGUGGAUCAAAUUCAUUGAACCUUAGAAUAUCAGACUAAUAAAAACAUGGAGACUAAAUCAAUAGCACGGCAUUAAGGUCAUCCUCAACCUGUUAUUGUGUUGAUUCUACUGCAGGUGUGAUGUCCUUGACAGGGAGGUUGAUAUAUGGAUGGUUGUGUUGUACUUUGACAGGCUUCUGCUUCUCAGGGCAAAGAGUUUUCAGCAAAUGAUUGUUUUGCCUAUUGACGUUCUUUCAAUCUUUUACUCUUUCUUGGGAAAGAUCAGUGUGCUGUGUCCCUAGAUUAACAGGAUAAAUCUACAGUAAUAACAUUUGUUUGAAUCUACUUCGAAGUCACAUAAACAUGAAUUUAUAGAAAUUAUAGCCUCCUUCUGUGAAACUCAAAAUAGUUUUUAAAUAAUAAUUUUUGUCAUAGCCCUUAUGACAGAGAGGCUGCAAACAGAUAUAUGCGUAUUCCACAAUCUGACAGGCACAAUCAGGGGUUCAAGUGACUUAGCCUAAACUAUUAAUCAAAAUAAUUACUAAUGUUUCCUAAUAAUACCCAAGGUUUUCAAUAACUUAUGAAAAAAAGUAUUUUCCUUACAGUACAGAUAUUUAAAAUAUAUGAUCAUAUUUUUGUGUAAAGAUUUCCUUAAUAUUGAUUCAAUAUAAACAAAUAAG